AUUGAACGCUGGCGGCAUGCCUUACACAUGCAAGUCGAACGGCAGCACGGGUGCUUGCACCUGGUGGCGAGUGGCGAACGGGUGAGUAAUGCAUCGGAACGUACCCGGAAGUGGGGGAUAACGUAGCGAAAGUUACGCUAAUACCGCAUAUUCUGUGAGCAGGAAAGAGGGGGAUCGCAAGACCUCUCGCUUUCGGAGCGGCCGAUGUCGGAUUAGCUAGUUGGCGGGGUAAGAGCCCACCAAGGCGACGAUCCGUAGCGGGUCUGAGAGGAUGAUCGGCCACCCGGGGACGGGGCCACGGCCCAGACUCCUACGGGAGGCAGCAGUGGGGAAUUUUGGACAAUGGGCGCAAGCCUGAUCCAGCCAUGCCGCGUGAGUGAAGAAGGCCUUCGGGUUGUAAAGCUCUUUCGGCUGGGAAGAAAUCGCAUCUCCUAAUACGGGGUGUGGAUGACGGUACCAGCAUAAGAAGCACCGGCUAACUACGUGCCAGCAGCCGCCGUAAUAC
rnacentral:rRNA from 1 species